AAGAGACAGCAGUCGCCGCGGUAAAACGUAGGGUGCAAGCGUUAAUCGGAAUUACUGGGCGUAAAGCGUGCGCAGGCGGUUAUAUAAGACAGAUGUGAAAUCCCCGGGCUCAACCUGGGAACUGCAUUUGUGACUGUAUAGCUAGAGUACGGCAGAGGGGGAUGGAAUUCCGCGUGUAGCAGUGAAAUGCGUAGAUAUGCGGAGGAACACCGAUGGCGAAGGCAAUCCCCUGGGCCUGUACUGACGCUCAUGCACGAAAGCGUGGGGAGCAAACAGGAUUAGAUACCCGUGUAGUCCCUGUCUCUUAUAA
rnacentral:rRNA from 1 species